UACGUAGGGCGCAAGCGUUGUCCGGAAUUAUUGGGCGUAAAGAGCUCGUAGGCGGUCUGUUACGUCGGAAGUGAAAAACCCGGGGCUUAACCCCCCGGGGCUUUGCUUUCGAUACGGGCAGACUAGAGUGUGGUAGGGGAGACUGGAAUUCCUGGUGUAGCGGUGAAAUGCGCAGAUAUCAGGAGGAACACCGGUGGCGAAGGCGGGUCUCUGGGCCACUACUGACGCUGAGGAGCGAAAGCGUGGGGAGCAAACAGG
rnacentral:rRNA from 1 species